CAACUCAUAUCUGAUGAGGAGUUGAUUCUCUAUAUCCUUGGAGGUUUGAGGCAUGAUUAUGACCCUGUUGUUAUUACUCUAACAUCUCGAGCUGACCCUAUAACCGUACAGGAAGUGCAGUUCCUCUUGCAGAGCCAUGAGA